rnacentral:miRNA from 1 species
GCAGACACAUUCCAGCCAAUCAGCAGCAGACCCUCCCUCCCAGACCCUCCCACCUCCUGGACAGCUCACUAAGAAUGCAGCUUCACAAUGGAUGCUGUCCAGGAGGUGGGAGGGUAUGGGAGGGAGGGUCUGCUGCUGAUUGGCUGGAAUGUGUCUG